GGAUCCGUGUCGCAAUGGUAGCGCGUCUAACUCCAGAUCAGAAGGUUGCGUGUUCGAUUCACAUUGGGUUUA
rfam:Ipomoea nil DNA, scaffold: scaffold2280, cultivar: Tokyo-kokei standard.